UAAAAAUAUAUUCAAAUUACUU
rnacentral:snRNA from 1 species